UCUAGAUUAAUAGAAAUCAAGAGGGUCAAAUUCUAACUAUUCAAUAAAGGCCAAGAUAGGGCCGGCAUGCUGCCUACCCAUUGACCAUGGAUCAGGAUCAUUUUCACCAAGGCUGAUCAAAUUGUUGAGAUGACUUUAUUAAAUCCAACAUCCUAGAGAAAGAAAGUAGAGAGAAAAAAUCGUAGAUAGAGAAACUGGAUAAGAAAGAGGAA
rnacentral:lncRNA from 1 species